rnacentral:misc_RNA from 1 species
AACGCACCUUGCGCUCCUUGGUAUUCCGAGGAGCAUGCCUGUUUGAGUGUCAUGAAAUUCUCAACCUAUAACCCUUUGCGGGUUUGUAGCGUUGGAUGUUGGAGGCUUUUGCUGGCCCAGUCAGCUCCUCUUAAAUGCAUUAGCUUGGUUCCUUGUGGAUCGGCUGUCGGUGUGAUAAUGUCUACGCCGCUCCCGUGAAGCGAUUGGAGAGCUUCUAAUGGUCUCGUCAGAGACAGCUUUUAUGAACUCUGAUCUCAAAUCAGGUAGGACUACCCGCUGAACUUAA